rnacentral:tRNA from 1 species
UGCUGCCUUGGCACAAUCCGGUGCUGAUCGCCGAGCAGGCGGCGACGCUCGACCUGCUGAGCGGCGGACGGUUCGAUUUCGGCGUCGGCAA